UACGUAGGUGGCAAGCGUUAUCCGGAAUUACUGGGCGUAAAGCGCACGCAGGCGGUGAAUUAAGUCAGAUGUGAAAGCCCAGAGCUUAACCUGGGAAUUGCAUUUGAAACUGGUUAGCUUGAGUGUUGUAGAGGGGAGUGGAAUUCCAUGUGUAGCGGUGAAAUGCGUAGAGAUAUGGAGGAACACCGGUGGCGAAGGCGGCCCCCUGGAC
rnacentral:rRNA from 1 species